UUGUGCGCUUGCUACCACAUGCAUAUGAUCUUUACAAGGCACACUUUUAUGUCGAUGAUUUCGACUGGUCUUACAUAUAUGCAGAUCCAUCUGCAGAUUAUUACUCCGCAGCUUGGGAUAUGAUCAUUCCUUUAGGGGGUCUGCUGUUUGCUGCAAUCAUAUAUCUGCAGCAGAAAAAGGGCGGCCGUUGUUUCUUGCCAAAGCGUUUCAAGGAGCUGGAAGGAUUUGAGAAGGUGCCUGUGGUUGACAAUCCAUAACAAGUAUUGGAAUGGAAUCUCUCACUUCUGGCUUCAUCACUAUCUCUUUUCCUUCUUUUGCUGUGUGUUUCCUUUUUCUAGGUCAUGUUUAUAGUACCUUUAGGCCAACUUCUGCAAUUAGACUAGAAUAACUCUCUGCUUGGGAUAGUGAUUUUCUACGUAUAUUGUCCUAGCAUAAGAAUUGUGACUUUAUUAGCAUGUUAAUUUGUAUAUAUUUAUAUGUAUGUUU
rnacentral:misc_RNA from 1 species